UACGUAGGGUGCAAGCGUUGUCCGGAAUUAUUGGGCGUAAAGCGCGUGUAGGCGGCUUUGCAAGUCGGGUGUGAAAGCCCUCAGCUUAACUGAGGAAGUGCGCCCGAAACUGCAGAGCUUGAAUACCGGAGAGGAUGGCGGAAUUCCCCAAGUAGAGGUGAAAUUCGUAGAUAUGGGGAGGAACACCGGUGGCGAAGGCGGCCAUCUGGACGGCUAUUGACGCUGAGACGCGAAAGCGUGGGGAGCAAACAGG
rnacentral:rRNA from 1 species